rnacentral:rRNA from 2 species
UGGGUGUGAAAAACACCCACGCCGAAAGACCAAGGGUUCCUGCGCAACGUUAAUCGACGCAGGGUUAGUCGGUUCCUAAGGCGAGGCUGAAAAGCGUAGUCGAUGGGAAACAGGUUAAUAUUCCUGUACUUCUGGUUACUGCGAUGGAGGGACGGAGAAGGCUAGGCCAGCUUGGCGUUGGUUGUCCAAGUUUAAGGUGGUAGGCUGAAAUCUUAGGUAAAUCCGGGGUUUCAAGGCCGAGAGCUGAUGACGAGUCGUCUUUUAGAUGACGAAGUGGUUGAUGCCAUGCUUCCAAGAAAAGCUUCUAAGCUUCAGGUAACCAGGAACCGUACCCCAAACCGACACAGGUGGUCGGGUAGAGAAUACCAAGGCGCUUGAGAGAACUCGGGUGAAGGAACUAGGCAAAAUGGCACCGUAACUUCGGGAGAAGGUGCGCCGGCUAGGGUGAAGGAUUUACUCCGUAAGCUCUGGCUGGUCGAAGAUACCAGGCCGCUGCGACUGUUUAUUAAAAACACAGCACUCUGCAAACACGAAAGUGGACGUAUAGGGUGUGACGCCUGCCCGGUGCCGGAAGGUUAAUUGAUGGGGUUAGCGCAAGCGAAGCUCUUGAUCGAAGCCCCGGUAAACGGCGGCCGUAACUAUAACGGUCCUAAGGUAGCGAAAUUCCUUGUCGGGUAAGUUCCGACCUGCACGAAUGGCGUAACGAUGGCGGCGCUGUCUCCACCCGAGACUCAGUGAAAUUGAAAUCGCUGUGAAGAUGCAGUGUAUCCGCGGCUAGACGGAAAGACCCCGUGAACCUUUACUGUAGCUUUGCACUGGACUUUGAGCCUGCUUGUGUAGGAUAGGUGGGAGGCUUUGAAGCGUGGACGCCAGUUCGCGUGGAGCCAUCCUUGAAAUACCACCCUGGCAUGCUUGAGGUUCUAACUCUGGUCCGUGAUCCGGAUCGAGGACAGUGUAUGGUGGGCAGUUUGACUGGGGCGGUCUCCUCCUAAAGAGUAACGGAGGAGUACGAAGGUGCGCUCAGACCGGUCGGAAAUCGGUCGCAGAGUAUAAAGGCAAAAGCGCGCUUGACUGCGAGACAGACACGUCGAGCAGGUACGAAAGUAGGUCUUAGUGAUCCGGUGGUUCUGUAUGGAAGGGCCAUCGCUCAACGGAUAAAAGGUACUCCGGGGAUAACAGGCUGAUACCGCCCAAGAGUUCAUAUCGACGGCGGUGUUUGGCACCUCGAUGUCGGCUCAUCACAUCCUGGGGCUGAAGCCGGUCCCAAGGGUAUGGCUGUUCGCCAUUUAAAGUGGUACGCGAGCUGGGUUUAGAACGUCGUGAGACAGUUCGGUCCCUAUCUGCCGUGGACGUUUGAGAUUUGAGAGGGGCUGCUCCUAGUACGAGAGGACCGGAGUGGACGAACCUCUGGUGUUCCGGUUGUCACGCCAGUGGCAUUGCCGGGUAGCUAUGUUCGGAAAAGAUAACCGCUGAAAGCAUCUAAGCGGGAAACUUGCCUCAAGAUGAGAUCUCACUGGGAACUUGAUUCCCCUGAAGGGCCGUCGAAGACUACGACGUUGAUAGGCUGGGUGUGUAAGCGUUGUGAGGCGUUGAGCUAACCAGUACUAAUUGCCCGUGAGGCUUGACCAU